rnacentral:rRNA from 1 species
GAUGAACGCUGGCGGCGUGCCUAAUACAUGCAAGUCGAACGCUGGAAAUCUAGCUUGCUAGCUUGAAGGAGUGGCGAACGGGUGAGUAAUACAUAAGCAACCUACCCACGAAGACUGGGAUAAUCUCUGGAAACGGGGACUAAUACCGGAUAGGUAAUCGGAAGGCAUCUUCUGAUUAUUAAAGGUUAAAAACACUGGUGGAUGGGCUUAUGGCGCAUUAGUUAGUUGGUGAGGUAACGGCCCACCAAGACGAUGAUGCGUAGCCGGCCUGAGAGGGUGAACGGCCAAAUUGGGACUGAGACACGGCCCAGACUCCUACGGGAGGCAGCAGUAGGGAAUUUUCGGCAAUGGGGGAAACCCUGACCGAGCAACGCCGCGUGAGUGAUGACGGCCUUCGGGUUGUAAAGCUCUGUUGUAAGGGAAGAACGGUAGAUAGAGAAUAUCUAAAUGACGGUACCUUACCAGAAAGCCACGGCUAACUACGUG